rnacentral:rRNA from 1 species
AUGCUUAUUAUGGAUUCCGGGGAAGCUGGUUCAAAGAAGGAAAGAAAUGAGGAAUAUUCCAUAAACCGUCUCCCGAGAGAGCUCAUUGAGCGGAUAUUUUUUCGGCUUCCGGUGAGCACUUUAUUGGUGUGUAUUGGUGUUUGUACGCGCUGGAAAAACUUGAUCCGGGAUCCCAAUUUUGUCACAUCACACCUGAAGCAUGCAUCCCAUUAUUCCCUCAUAUUCUUCCAACAAGAUUAUGUUGCAGGAAAACAUUACCCGAGUGAUGCUAUUCUAAUUGAUAAAGCUUGGUCACAAUCAACAUAUGCAGUGCCAACCAUUGACCCUGAUGAUUUACUCUGUGGUUCCUGUAAUGGGAUUAUUUGCUUAUACACAAAGACAUCGACAAUCAAGAUAGCUAACCUUGCAACUGGCGAAUGUCUGCAUCUUGAGAAACCUAUAAAGAAUUUGAGUGGCGACCAAUUCUUGUUCUACAGUUUUGGGUUUCACCCUUUGACAAGAGAAUACAAAAUUACACACUUGGGUGACUAUGUUGAGGGCCGCCCCAAGAAUGGAGACAAAUUCACCAUCAUUCAAGUUUACAGGCUUGGUGAUGAGAAAUGGAAAGACAUCAGAACCCCAGAAGCCUUAAGCUUGAGUUGCGUCAAAAACUCUGGACUAAUCAAUGUUGGUGGAACAAUGUAUUGGUUAACUAAUGAUAUGGCAACUAACUGGAAGCAUGUUGUUAUGUGCUUUGAUCUCGGUGAAGAAGCUUUUGCACGGAUAGAACUGCCAACAUCAGUACUUGAAAAUAGUGUUUAUGGUGGUCCCCGUAGGUACUGGAUCAGAGAGAUAGAUGGGAAAAUAUGUAUAGCAACUGCUCAAACCUGGCACAAAGUUAUUUAUGGUAAGUUGCAGAUCUGGACACUUGACAACAAGGUUGAGCAAAGUUGGAGCCAGAAGUACAAUAUUCAUACAGCAGGUUACAUCGCGGGUCCAAAUUUGUCUUAUGGGGAUAAGUUAUUGAUGCAAAGAAAUGAUAGUAGGCUAUUUUCUCAUGAUUUGCAUGGGAAUGAAGGGAAUAUCGAGCCUAUGAUAUUAAACAUGACGAGGUUGUCAGGCUUUAGCCCAGUUUUAGAUUUUAGCCCUCGCAAGCCGGACAAUAUGCAAUCCUACAUAUAUGUGGAGUCACUUGUACGCUUAGAUGUAUACAAAAAAGGCGGCAUUGUGCGUAAGCCAAAAAAGAGGGAAGUUUGGAAAUUUAAGAAGUGGAAGCCUUGCGAGGACGAGCUCUCUCAGCUAGAAGAGAUGUGGAGCCACAUUCAUCAAAAGGAGUAUGACAUAACUGUCUUUUCACAACGAUCUGGCAUACAACUCAAACAUCAUCUGGAAGGUAUAUCAAAUGACGUGAUUCGACAACAAAUAGGCCUGCAAAUUGAUCAAAUCGUUCCAGUCUUUCCAAAUAAGUAUCCAAGAUCCUCCCAACGACUUAAUUUGGUGGGGGAAAAGCGGGACAGAGAAAAGUUACUUGCUCGUAUGAGGAAGUAUGGAGAUAUUUGCAAGGCUAUGAAUAAGGAAAUUGGGUGGAUCGUUCGUAUGACGGAGAUUGCUACACAAUAUAAGGUGGGUCCUUCGAGUUCAAAUGAUGCUAUUUCAUACCAGAAUCACAGUGACGACAAGGAUACAGUUGAGUCUUGA